rnacentral:rRNA from 1 species
GGAAUCUUCCACAAUGGGCGAAAGCCUGAUGGAGCAACGCCGCGUGUGUGGUGAAGGGUUUCGGCUCGUAAAACACUGUUGUAAGAGAAGAAUGACAUUGAGAGUAACUGUUCAAUGUGUGACGGUAUCUUACCAGAAAGGAACGGCUAAAUACGUGCAG